rnacentral:rRNA from 1 species
GAGCGAACGCUGGCGGCAGGCUUAACACAUGCAAGUCGAGCGGGCGUAGCAAUACGUCAGCGGCAGACGGGUGAGUAACGCGUGGGAACAUACCUUUUGGUCGGAACAACACAGGGAAACUUGUGCUAAUACCGGAUAAGCCCUUACGGGGAAAGAUUUAUCGCCGAAAGAUUGGCCCGCGUCUUGAUUAGCUAGUUGGUGAGGUAACGGCUCACCAAGGCGACGAUCAGUAGCGAUCUGAGAGGAUGAGUCAGCCACAUUGGGACUGAGACACGGCCAAACU